AGAGUUUGAUCCUGGCUCAGGACGAACGCUGGCGGUAUGCUUAACACAUGCAAGUCGAACGAGAAGCUUUUUAAUGAUCCUUCGGGUGAACUAAGAAGUGGAAAGUGGCGAACGGGUGAGUAACGCGUGGGUAACCUGCCUCAUGGAAAGGAAUAGCCUCGGGAAACCGGGAGUAAAGCCUUAUAUUAUUGAGUUGUCGCAUGGCAAUUCGAUGAAAACUCCGGUGCCAUGAGAUGGACCCGCGUCCCAUUAGCUAGUUGGUGAGAUAACAGCCCACCAAGGCAACGAUGGGUAACCGGUCUGAGAGGGCGAACGGUCACACUGGAACUGAGACACGGUCCAGACUCCUACGGGAGGCAGCAGUGGGGAAUAUUGCGCAAUGGGGGAAACCCUGACGCAGCAAUACCGCGUGAGUGAAGAAGGUUUUCGGAUCGUAAAACUCUUUUAUUGGGGAAGAAGAAGUGACGGUACCCAAUGAAGAAGUCCCGGCUAACUACGUGCCAGCAGCCGCGGUAAUACGUAGGGGACAAGCGUUGUCCGGAAUCACUGGGCGUAAAGGGCGCGUAGGCGGUUUUAUAAGUCAGAUGUGAAAGGUACCGGCUCAGCCGGUGACGUGCAUUUGAAACUGUAAGACUUGAGUACUGGAGAGGCAAGUGGAAUUCCUAGUGUAGCGGUGAAAUGCGUAGAUAUUAGGAGGAACACCGGUGGCGAAGGCGGCUUGCUGGACAGAUACUGACGCUGAGGUGCGAAAGCGUGGGGAGCGAACAGGAUUAGAUACCCUGGUAGUCCACGCCGUAAACGAUGAUGACUAGGUGUUGGGGAAACUCAGUGCCGCAGUUAACACAUUAAGUCAUCCGCCUGGGGAGUACGACCGCAAGGUUGAAACUCAAAGGAAUUGACGGGGACCCGCACAAGCAGCGGAGCAUGUGGUUUAAUUCGAAGCAACGCGAAGAACCUUACCAGGCCUUGACAUCCUCUGACAAUCCUAGAGAUAGGACGUUUCCUUCGGGAACAGAGAGACAGGUGGUGCAUGGUUGUCGUCAGCUCGUGUCGUGAGAUGUUGGGUUAAGUCCCGCAACGAGCGCAACCCUUGCC
rnacentral:rRNA from 1 species